UACGUAGGGGGCAAGCGUUGUCCGGAAUUAUUGGGCGUAAAGAGCGUGUAGGCGGUCCGGUAAGUCAGCUGUGAAAGUCAAGGGCUCAACCCUUGAAAGCCGGUUGAUACUGUCGGGCUAGAGGUCCGGAAGAGGCGAGUGGAAUUCCCGGUGGUAGCGGUGAAUGCGCAGGAUAUCGGGAGGAACACCAAUGGCGAAGGCAG
rnacentral:rRNA from 1 species